rnacentral:rRNA from 1 species
UACGUAGGGUGCGAGCGUUGUCCGGAAUUAUUGGGCGUAAAGAGCUCGUAGGCGGUCUGUCGCGUCGGAUGUGAAAGCCCGGGGCUUAACUCCGGGUCUGCAUUCGAUACGGGCAGACUAGAGUAUGGUAGGGGAGAUCGGAAUUCCUGGUGUAGCGGUGAAAUGCGCAGAUAUCAGGAGGAACACCGGUGGCGAAGGCGGCCACCUGGCACAUUACCGACGCUGAGACACGACAGCAUGGGGAGCGAACGGG